rnacentral:rRNA from 1 species
CUAAGAAUAUUCCGCAAUGGACGAAAGUCUGACGGAGCGACGCCGCGUGGAUGAAGAAGGCCGAAAGGUUGUAAAAUCCUUUUGUCGGGGAAGAAUAAGCGUGGGAGGGAAUGCCCGCGUGAUGACAUGAACCGGCGAAUAAGCCCCGGCUAACUACGUGCCAGCAGCCGCGGUAACACGUAGGGGGCGAGCGUUGUUCGGAAUUACUGGGCGUAAAGGGCAUGUAGGCGGUUUUGUAAGCCUGGCGUGAAAUUCUGCAGCUUAACUGUAGGACUGCGCUGGGAACUGCGAGACUGGAGUCACGGAGAGGAGCCAGAAUUCCGAGGUGUAGGGGUGAAAUCGUGUAGAUAUCUGGAAGAAUACCAAUGGCGAAGGCAGGCUUCGUGGCCGAUGACUGACGCU